rnacentral:lncRNA from 1 species
AGCUAACAAUUACACAACAUGACUGACCGUCCCUAGAUCAAGUAGCAAAGGGCUUGAUGGUUGGUAUUCAAGACCCAAGUUCGAAUUCUAGUUGAUUCACAUUUUCAACUAAAUUUAUUUUUAAAUAAAAUAAACGAAACGGGUAACGUACUAUCUAUCUCUCAAAAAAAUAAAUAAUUACACAACAUGAUCGAACAAAAUAAUUUCAUUUUUCUUUUUCUUGUUUCUUCUUACUUAAUUUCAGUGGAAUUUAAAAUGCA